AUUGAACGCUGGCGGCAGGCCUAACACAUGCAAGUCGAGCGAGCGGCGGACGGGUGAGUAAUGUCUGGGAAACUGCCUGAUGGAGGGGGAUAACUACUGGAAACGGUAGCGAAAACCGCAUACCAUCAGAUGUGGCCAGAUGGGAUUAGCUAGUGGGUGGGGUAACGGCUCACCUGGGCGACGAUCCCUAGACGGCCUGAGAGGAUGACCAGCCACACUGGGACUGAGACACGGCCCAGACUCCUACGGGAGGCAGCAGUGGGGAAUAUUGCACAAUGGGCGCAAGUCUGAUGCAGCCACGCCGCGUGUGUGAAGAAGGCCUUCGGGUUGUAAAGCACUUUCAGUGGGGAGGCGUUACCCGCAGAAGAAGCACCGGCUAACUCCGUGCCAGCAGCCGCGGUAAUAC
rnacentral:rRNA from 1 species